rnacentral:rRNA from 1 species
GAUGAACGCUGGCGGCGUGCCUAAUACAUGCAAGUCGAGCGAACGGACGAGAAUCUUGCUUCUUUGAUGUGUGGCGCGGAGGGGUGAGUAACACGUGUAUAACGUACCUAUAAGACUGGGAAAACUUCGGGACACGGGAGCUUAUACGGGAUAAUAUUUUGAACCGCGUGGUUCAAAAGUGAAAUACGGUGUUGCUGUCUCGAAUAGAGGCAUAAGCGCUGCAUGAGCUAGUUGGUAAGGUAACGGCUUACCAAGGCAACGAGGCAUAGCCGACCUGAGAGGCUGAUAGGCGACACUGGAGCUGGACCACGGUCCAGGCUACUGCGGUAGGCAGCAGUAGGCAAUCUGACGCAAUGGGCGAAAGCAUGACGCAGCGACGCCGCGUGAGUGAUGACGAUCUUCGGAUCGUAAUGCUCUGUUACUAGUGAAGAACCUAUGUGGACGUAACUGAGCACAGAUUGACGGUACCUAAUAAGAAAGCAACGGCUAACUACGUG